rnacentral:misc_RNA from 1 species
GGGGAAGCGGGAUGAAGCCCUCCAAUAUGCGAGAAAGUACCUGGGUCCAUUUGCUUCCACGCACAAGCAUGAGAUAGAGAGGCUGAUGGGCUCUCUUCUGUUUGUAGGGCGCCUCGACGGGUCCCCAUACACCGGUUUCACCGAGCUGAUUUCUCCAGCUCAAUGGGACAAGCUGGCUGACGAGCUGACCGAACAGUUCUG